rnacentral:rRNA from 1 species
AGCAGCCGCGGUAAUUCCAGCUCCAAUAGCGUAUAUUAAAGUUGUUGCAGUUAAAAAGCUCGUAGUUGAAUUUCGGGGUCAAUACGUCGGUCGUGCCUCGGUACGCACUAACGUUAUUGAUCCCUCCCUUCUGACGAACCGUGAUGUCAUUAAUUUGGUGUUGCGGGGAAUCAGGACUGUUACCUUGAAAAAAUUAGAGUGUUUAAAGCAGGCAAUCGCUCGAAUACAUUAGCAUGGAAUAAUGAAAUAGGACGUUCGAACCUAUUUUGUGGUUUCUAGGAUCGACGUAAUGAUUAAUAGGGAUAGUUGGGGGCAUUAGUAUUCAAUUGUCAGAGGCGAAAUUCUUGGAUUUAUUGAAGACUAACUACUGCGAAAGCAUUUGCCAAGGAUGUUUUCAUUAAUCAAGAACGAAAGUUAGGGAUCGAAGACGAUCAGAUACCGUCGUAGUCUUAACCAUAAACUNUGCCGACUAGGGAUCGGAUGAUGUUAAUUUUUAUGUACUCAUUCGGCGUCCUUACGG